UACGGAGGGUCCAAGCGUUGUCCGGAAUCACUGGGCGUAAAGGGUGUGCAGGUGGGGCAGCAAGUCAGAGGUGAAAGCCCGCGGCUUAACCGCGGAAGUGCCUUUGAAACUGCUGCUCUUGAGUCCCGGAGAGGUUGCCGGAAUUCGUGGUGUAGCGGUGAAAUGCGUAGAUAUCACGAGGAACACCAGAGGCGAAAGCGGGCAACUGGACGGGUACUGACGCUGAGGGACGAAAGCGUAGGUAGCGAACAGG
rnacentral:rRNA from 1 species